AACGGCCUACGGGAGGCAGCAGUGAGGAAUAUUGGUCAAUGGGCGAGAGCCUGAACCAGCCAAGUCGCGUGAGGGAGUACUGCCCUAUGGGUUGUAAACCUCUUUUGUCGGGGAGCAAAAGCCGGACGUGUCCGUCUGUGAGAGUACCCGAAGAAAAAGCAUCGGCUAACUCCGUGCCAGCAGCCGCGGUAAUACGGAGGAUGCGUGCGUUAUCCGGAUUUAUUGGGUUUAAAGGGUGCGCAGGCGGAUUUUUAAGUCAGCGGUCAAAUCGGGGGGCUCAUCCCCAUCCAGCCGUUGAAACUGGG
rnacentral:rRNA from 1 species